CACGUAGGGCGCAAGCGUUGUCCGGAAUUAUUGGGCGUAAAGAGCUCGUAGGCGGUCUGUUGCGUCCGCUGUGAAAACUCGGGGCUUAACCCCGAGCCUGCAGUGGAUACGGGCAGACUAGAGGUAGGUAGGGGAGAAUGGAAUUCCCGGUGUAGCGGUGAAAUGCGCAGAUAUCGGGAGGAACACCGGUGGCGAAGGCGGGUCUCUGGGCCUGAACCUGACGCUGAGGAGCGAAAGCGUGGGGAGCGAACAGG
rnacentral:rRNA from 1 species